UACGAGGGGGGCAAGCGUUGUUCGGAAUUAUUGGGCGUAAAGGGCGCGUAGGCGGUGCGGUAAGUCACCUGUGAAACCUCUAGGCUCAACCUAGAGCCUGCAGGCGAAACUGCCGUGCUUGAGGGUGGGAGAGGUGCGUGGAAUUCCCGGUGUAGCGGUGAAAUGCGUAGAUAUCUGGAGGAACACCGGUGGCGAAGGCGGCAUCCUGGACCGGUAUUGACGCUGAGGCGCGAAAGCUAGGGGAGCAAACGGG
rnacentral:rRNA from 1 species